AAACCCUAGAUUGCUGUUCUCCAAUGAAAUGCAGGCAUGACCUCUUGAUUAAUUUUUUGUUAUUAAGAAGAUAAAUAGUACACAAUCAACACUUCAAUCUGGAUAACAUUGAAGGCAGCCGAUUAAUUUAAAAUGAGAGAACUGCUCUCAGAUGAACUUACCCUGCAAGAAGAGACUCAUGUAUCAUGAAGAGAGAAUCAGAUUAAAAUGGGCAAGGUUUGUAAUAAAACUAAAAUAUCAGAUGUCUGGGAAUUUAGCCAGGAAGAUGCUCCUAGCUUCAGUUUUUCCUGAGGAGAAAAUACAAUUAUCGGGUAUCCUGUAGUAGGUGUUUCUGUUAGGUAGGGCCCUAUUCAUUGAUGAGAAUGGUAGUUUUUCAAAUAGAGAUGUAUUUGUAUUUAUUUGUGAAGUUUUAAAAUUCAUUAUCUUGUGUGUACAUGUAGCAUGUUUGCUAGUUUUUUGCGGGACUAUUUACAUAGUGCAGGCUUGAUAGGGCUAAAUAAAACAUUCUAAAAGUGUGUGAGAUGAUAACUAAC
rnacentral:lncRNA from 1 species